UACGGAGGGUGCAAGUGUUAUUCGGAAUCACUGGGCGUAAAGAGCACGUAGGCGGAUAGGCAAGUCAGAUGUGAAAUCCCGGAGCUCAACUCCGGAACUGCAUUUGAUACUGCCUGUCUUGAGUGAGGUAGAGGGGAGUGGAAUUCCCGGUGUAGAGGUGAAAUUCGUAGAUAUCGGGAGGAACACCGAUGGCGAAGGCAGGUCUCUGGGCCACUACUGACGCUGAGAAGCGAAAGCAUGGGGAGCGAACAGGAUUAGA
rnacentral:rRNA from 1 species